AUUGAACGCUGGCGGCAGGCCUAACACAUGCAAGUCGAACGAGUGGCGGACGGGUGAGUAAUGUCUGGGAAACUGCCUGAUGGAGGGGGAUAACUACUGGAAACGGUAGCUAAUACCGCAUACCCUCAGAUGUGCACAGAUGGGAUUAGCUAGUUGGUGGGGUAACGGCUCACCAAGGCGACGAUCCCUAGCUGGUCUGAGAGGAUGACCGGGCACACUGGAACUGAGAGCCGGGCCAGACUCCUACGGGAGGCAGCAGUGGGGAGUAUUGCACAAUGGGCGAAAGCCUGAGGCAGCCAUGCCGCGUGGAUGAAGAAGGCCUUCGGGUUGUAAAGUACUUUCAGCGGGGAGGCGGUACCCGCAGAAGAAGCACCGGCUAACUCCGUGCCAGCACACGCGGUAAUAC
rnacentral:rRNA from 1 species